GUCCCUGUAGCGCAAUGGAUCACGCGUUGGAAUUCUAAUCCAAGAAUCGUGGGUUCGAAUCUUACCUGGGAUG